rnacentral:rRNA from 1 species
GACGAACGCUGGCGGCGUGCCUAAUACAUGCAAGUCGAACGCUUCUUUCCUCCCGAGUGCUUGCACUCAAUUGGAAAGAGGAGUGGCGGACGGGUGAGUAACACGUGGGUAACCUACCCAUCAGAGGGGGAUGACACUUGGAAACAGGUGCUAAUACCGCAUAACAGUUUAUGCCGCAUGGCAUAAGAGUGAAAGGCGCUUUCGGGUGUCGCUGAUGGAUGGACCCGCGGUGCAUUAGCUAGUUGGUGAGGUAACGGCUCACUAAGGCCACGAUGCAUAGCCGACCUGAGAGGGUGAUCGGCCACACUGGGACUGAGACACGGCCCAGACUCCUACGGGAGGCAGCAGUAGGGAAUCUUCGGCAAUGGACGAAAGUCUGACCGAGCAACGCCGCGUGAGUGAAGAAGGUUUUCGGAUCGUAAAACUCUGUUGUUAGAGAAGAACAAGGACGUUAGUAACUGAACGUCCCCUGACGGUAUCUAACCAGAAAGCCACGGCUAACUACGUG